rnacentral:rRNA from 1 species
UACGUAGGUCCCGAGCGUUGUCCGGAUUUAUUGGGCGUAAAGCGAGCGCAGGUGGUUUAAUAAGUCUGAAGUUAAAGGCAGUGGCUUAACCAUUGUACGCUUUGGAAACUGGAGGACUUGAGUGCAGAAGGGGAGAGUGGAAUUCCAUGUGUAGCGGUGAAAUGCGUAGAUAUAUGGAGGAACACCGGUGGCGAAAGCGGCUCUCUGGACUGUAACUGACACUGAGGCUCGAAAGCGUGGGUAGCAAACAGG